ACUUAUGUGGCACCCUAUUUAAUAUGCAUGACACUCUCAUGAAACAUGCAUUGAGACUGGCCUAACCCCCGCACCCUCUCCCAGUCUCCCCUGCCGCACAGACAGCUGCCAGCACCCGCUCCAAUCAAAAAAAAAAUUGACGCCGCCUGCAAACGCUCACACGACCGGCCCCUAUCAUCGCCCCCGGCCGGCCGCCGGCUGCCCUCACUGAUGCCCCAAGGGUGCGCCCCCUCUUUCUGGUACACGCGCACACGUGCUCUGGGAGGGUGCUCUGGCCCGAUGGAUCUGCUUGUUUCUUUGUGCAGGGAGCCAGCGACCAACAAGAAGGCCACGAGCAUCCAGGUACUAGCCUGUAUAGAUCCGUGCAUUUGCUCUAAUGUUUUGAUGUCUUUUGGUGGAAUAUUUCUUGAUGGAUUCGUAUGGCAUGCUGUGCUUAUAGAUAGAAUAGUCUGCUGGACAGUUCUGAAUUUUUACAUGUGUUUACAUAGUGCUAUGUGGCUGUCAGUUUGUACAGCUCGAAUAAGAGGCUAAAAAUAAGAUAUCUCAAGCUGGCUCCCCGUGUCUCCCUCGGUUGGCUCAGAUCCAAAAGAAGGGAGCUGAAUAUAUCUCCCUCUGCACUUGUAUUUGAGUUCUUCUUGAUUAAUUUCACUAGUAUCUGCAGUUACAUAGAUAUAUUAGUAGACCCAUUUGUUCAUCGAUAAUCUUACUUUUGCUGACAAUGCAGACAUAUUUUAGUACAAUGUGCUCUACAAUUGGAUUAACAUUUCUGAGCUCAUUCAUCACCCACAUUUUUGGUUGUUCUAUUUGGAUUUGACAGAUCUGCAAAUAAAAUGGUUUUUUGAUUUUUGUUUACCUGCUAGUAUGUGUGCUGCUAAUUAGUACAUAAGUUCCUUGUUCAUGUGCAAGCCUGAGAAGAAGUCCCUUUUUCUUAUUGAAUCUUGAAACCAUAUUACCAUUAUAGUUCUUUAAGAUGUAAGCUUCUUUUUUCUUAUAUAUUUGAGAUUUGUUACCUAAAUCAUCGAUCUAUGGUUUCCUCUAUCGUAGCCGACAAGAAGAAGUAGCUCCUUGGAUCUUUGCCCUAAGAAAAGCCGUAGCAUCUACAUACACCUUCUCACCAAGCAUUAGGAGCCAGCUUGUGGAUUAGACUUAGGAGUAUCAUCAGAUAAAGUGCUCUCUACAGCUUCACUACAGUUGUUGAUGCUUGUCUUCCAUGGAAUCUUAUGUUGUUGAUGCUUGUCUUCCAUGGAAUCUUAUGUUGAAUGCGAUUGACGAUAUGUAUGCACAAUGUGCGUGAAUUUGAUGCCAUGAUCUACUUUUGUGUUUAUAUUUAUAGAGUCUAUUUGGUCAGCUUUUGGUUGUCCCUAGUAAAAGCUGAUGGAUAAAUCUUGGAUUGAUGAUGAUGCUAGAUUGGCAAAGAAGUUAUACUCCAUGCACUCCAUAGAGAUGAACCUGUGGCCAAGGAAAUAGUUAUUUGAGUUAAUCCUAGCACCAUGCACGCAGGACUUGCUCUUGGAAGGAAAUGCUGUGAAGUUGUUAUCAGGUUUUGUGAUGAAAAGGGAUGCAAAGCUACCUCGCCCAUAUCCUGGUGUGCAAGAGAUGGCGGAUGCUAAGGACCUGUCAAUUGCAUGGCCAUAUAACAAGGUAGUGGGAAGAAGUAGCUGGAAGUAGAAUGCAGCCAAUGAUUGGAUCAAAGUGUUCAUGUCAACGUGUUUUUGUCAUUUUAGCUAUAGAUGAAAACUUGGGUUGGACUUAGGGGGUGUUUGGGACUGCUCUACAAACUCUGCUCCAUAAACUCCACCAUGGAGCAGCUCCAC